CCUACGGGAGGCAGCAGUGAGGAAUAUUGGUCAAUGGGAGAGAUCCUGAACCAGCCAAGCCGCGUGAGGGAGGACGGCCCUAUGGGUUGUAAACCUCUUUUGUCGGAGAACAAAACCCGGGACGUGUCCCGGACUGCGUGUCUCCGAAGAAAAAGCAUCGGCUAACUCCGUGCCAGCAGCCGCGGUAAUACGGAGGAUGCGAGCGUUAUCCGGAUGUAUUCGGUUAAAAGGGUCCGUAGGCGGUACGUUAAGUCAGCGGGAAAAUUGCGGGGCUCAACCCCGUCGAGCCGUUGAAACUGGGAGACUUGAGUUGGCGAGAAGUACGCGGAAUGCGCGGUGUAGCGGUGAAAUGCAUAGAUAUCGCGCAGAACUCCGAUUGCGAAGGCAGCGUACCGGCGCCAGACUGACGCUGAGGCACGAAAGCGUGGGGAUCGAACAGGAUUAGAUACCCUGGUAGUC
rnacentral:rRNA from 1 species